CAGCCGCCGCGGUAACACGAAGGGUGCAAGCGUUAAUCGGAAUUACUGGGCGUAAAGCGUGCGUAGGCGGUUUGUUAAGUCUGCUGUGAAAUCCCCGGGCUCAACCUGGGAAUGGCAGUGGAUACUGGCAAGCUAGAGUGUGUCAGAGGAUGGUGGAAUUCCCGGUGUAGCGGUGAAAUGCGUAGAGAUCGGGAGGAACAUCAGUGGCGAAGGCGGCCAUCUGGGACAACACUGACGCUGAGGCACGAAAGCGUGGGGAGCAAACAGGAUUAGAUACCCCCGUAGUCCCUGUCUCUUAUAC
rnacentral:rRNA from 1 species